rnacentral:RNase_P_RNA from 1 species
CGAUCGCGCGGUAUGGCGCCGAAAGGUAUUACCGUGAGGAAAGUCCGGGCAUCACAGGGCAGGAUAACGGAUAACGUCCGCCGAGGGUGACCUCCGGGAAAGUGCAACAGAGAUAUACCGCCUCAGGUGCCGCUUAGUUUUAUACGAAGGGUGCCGAGGGGUCCUCAUAUUAUGCGCAAGCAUGAUUUGGGGUUCUCCGAGGGGUCCUCAAAUUAUGCGCAAGCAUGAUUUGGGGUUCCUGAGGUAAGGGUGGAAAGGCGAGGUAAGAGCUCACCGGCAUUGGUGGCAACAUCAUGCAAAUGUAAACCCUAUCCGAUGCAACACCGUGUGAAAGAAGGGCUGCCCGUCCGCCCCGCAAGGGGAUUUCCGAGGUGGCACGGAGCUGUGCGGCAACGCAUACGCCAAGACAGAUGACCGUCAUAAACAGAACCCGGCUUACGGCACGGC